CAGCCAUCUUCUUCCUCCUACCGUCGCGCACAACCAUUGUCGCCUUCACCGGUCUCUUCUCUAAAUCCCCCAUUGCUGCAAAACCCACAACAAAAUUCCUCCUUUUCUUCUAAUCUAAACGGAUCUGGACGGAUCUGAGUGGAUAUGGACAGAUAUGCAAAACCCUCUACCAGAUCAGGAAGAAGAAGAAGGAGAAGGGGAGGAGGAAGGUGCUGCGUAAUGGGUGUUCGCGCCACACAUCAAACAACUUUGCACUUCCAGGAUCCUCAGAUUCUUCCUCUGAUUCUGAUAGCAGCGAGAGAGUAUCGACCCCCAACCCCCACCAUCGAAACCGAAGUUGAAGAAGUGAUUUUUGACUUUUGGGGAAGCAGAUUCGAAGGUGUGGAAGCUUAUACAGAGAUGCAAGAUGCAAGAUAUAUGGGUUUUAGGAUUUUUUUCCUGUCUCCUCUUUCUGGAUCUUCUUCAUCUCUGCAAUUUGGGGUUUGAUUGUUCGGUUGUUAUUGGUUUUUGGAGAUGUAUCUGGAUGGGGGUUUGUUUUUGGGUAUGUUGAUGAUGAAGAUCAAGAGAUGAAAUUCAUCUAUGGAUUUCUCAUCCCAUCCACUGCCUCCAAGCGGUGCACCGUGCACUAGUUUGUUUGUUUUUUUCGUGGAGGCAGUGGUGAUUCGGAUUGGGGUUGUUCGAGUUUGGGGAGGCGGUGGAAUUGGGUUGUUGUUUGAAGAGAUUGGCGGAGUGCAGGGAGAAGGUGACGGCGUUGGAGGCGGCUGAGGCAGAGAGAUUGUGGGAUUUAGUGACGGAAUUAAGGGGGGACAAUUGCAGUGGCGGUGUUCAAUGACAGAAUGCUUAGGGGACAAAUUUGUAAUCUCACAUUGAAAUUUUGGGGGACACCCAUGCAUCCCAUAAAAUAGGUGACACUGUAGUCUUCACCUCCCAAUCCCAUCAUGUCCUAUCUAAUUUAAGAAUGUGAUGGAAAUGAAUUGUAAGAGAUGGUAGAAUGUGAACAUAUCAUAAUUCCUCA